rnacentral:rRNA from 1 species
AUUGAACGCUGGCGGCAGGCCUAACACAUGCAAGUCGAGCGGAUGAGUGGAGCUUGCUCCAUGAUUCAGCGGCGGACGGGUGAGUAAUGCCUAGGAAUCUGCCUGGUAGUGGGGGACAACGUUUCGAAAGGAACGCUAAUACCGCAUACGUCCUACGGGAGAAAGCAGGGGACCUUCGGGCCUUGCGCUAUCAGAUGAGCCUAGGUCGGAUUAGCUAGUAGGUGAGGUAAUGGCUCACCUAGGCGACGAUCCGUAACUGGUCUGAGAGGAUGACCAGUCACACUGGAACUGAGACACGGUCCAGACUCCUACGGGAGGCAGCAGUGGGGAAUAUUGGACAAUGGGCGAAAGACCUGAUCCAGCCAUGCCGCGUGUGUGAAGAAGGUCUUCGGAUUGUAAAGCACUUUAAGUUGGGAGGAAGGGCGAGUAAGUUAAUACCUUGCUGUUUGACGUUACUAACAGAAUAAGACACCGGCUAACUUACGUGCCA